UUUUCUUACAUAUUAAUAAAAUAUACAAAAUUUUGAUUAUAAAUAUAUUAUAUUUUUGGUUGACCAUUUUCAUAAUUUUAAACUAAUAAAAGUUUAAAAUAUCAAUGCUCCGCCCGUCCACGGCUAAUGGGCCAUCCACGCUAGCUCACUCGGUUUGUGGGUACCAUCUCGUCUGACAAGCGGUGCAUUAACUUUUUCAAUGCCCGGAAGUCUUGUUUACUGAUCC
rnacentral:lncRNA from 1 species